rnacentral:lncRNA from 1 species
GAGAAUUACUCCAAGUUGGGGUGAAAACUUCCUGCAUUCCAGAAGUUCGAUGGCAUUGAGAAGGUGAAUCACAGUAACUAACUCAAUGCAAGGAGUGCAAACACUUCAAGUGCUUCAGAAGUGUGAGCAAAGAGCAGGCGAAGGCUAGUAACCAGUUCGAUGCAUGAAGUACAACCUCGAGGAGGCGGGCGAAGUCAAGUAACCUUUGCCUUCUCAACUCUUAAGAGAAUGGGCGAAACCGAGUACCCCAAUUCUCUUAUCUAUCCAGCAGAGGAGCUCUGCACAAGUUCAAAGACCCUUCGAAGAUAAUGGAAGACAAUAGUUGUCAAAUCCUCACCAACGGUGAUCAGUGCUACUGAGAGUAGAUUGUCCGCUUCAUUUCCCAACGAAAUGCCAAUCGAAAGCGGAAGUGAUGCGAACCUACUUGGAUGUGACAACUAAGUGUAAGAAGAGUCAAUGAGCAAAUUUUGUGGAGGAAGGACCCAAAACUUUAGAAGUUUACGAGACGAUGCUCGUUAAAGCUCCAACAAGCAUCCACCCAGUUCAAGCAGCAUGAGGCAUUUGAGAGACUGGCGCAGUAAGGAUGGUCUUUUCCUUUAUUUGGAGGAUCCACAGGAAUUAACAAGGAUCAACACAACUCAGCCAACCCUACACCAGAGUCAGUCAUUGGUGAGUUGAAGCAGCAUGGCAGAUCAAAGGUUCGACUACUCAAAAAUAACAGCGGAGAGCAGCUAGGAGCCAAGAGGCGCAUUGUAGCUGGAGUAGAAGAUUGAAGACUCAGCAAAUGUGAGGAGUUGCAGUGUCGACAAAGGCUUCAACGAGGACGUCGAAGGAAUAAGUGGGGGAGAAUGUCACGGACAAACUUCGAAACAGGAUGUUUGAUGUAAUGCUUAUGUAUGUCCGUGUCUUUUGGCAUGUUCAUGCCUUGUACAGCAUGUAGAGGGGCGACCGAAGGCUUAAUAGACCCAUUUUAGUUGGGUUGGUGGCCUCUUUAGGCUUGUAAAUAAAUGUUGUGUCAGGUGGACACGCGUGAGAGAUUUUCGGUCUGUAAUAGACCAUUUUACCUUUUGUUGUGCCACUGUUCAGAGCUUGUAAAGUCUGUUUGUAAUUUGCAUUGUCUAUGAAGUGUUUUUCGGAGAUGUUUGCUUGUGGAUCCCGAUUGAGGCGUUCUUUCUAACCCGUUCUCUCUUUUGUUGGUCCUAAGGGACAAUGGGAGGCUUCGGGGAGGCUGACCUUUGCGGACGGACACGCAAGGGUGCCACACGACUUAGGCAAAACCAGCUAAGUCCGUGACAAUGGGGGAUGGGGCUUCGGUAUAGUGUCGGGCGUUGAACAAUCUUUUGCAAGUUCGCAUGUUACCUUGACGGGAACUUGUUGUUGUGCCCGGCACCCGGUGAGCAGUUAUUAGUGGACUUGCAGCUGUUCGUUCAACCUUCUAAAGUUCUUGUUUUUCUCUUCUCUCUCUUUUCUCUUAUGCACGCAAGAUGCUCGCUGAAUUGCUUGUAAAGCUUCCCCUAUCGCGAGACUUCGGGACUUAUCCGUCGCUCGUUUUUUGAACUAAUCAACUUUCUCUUUUACAGGUCCUUCGGGACUUAAGUAAGGUUGCAACUUGGCUGACUCUUGCGGACGCAUAUCGUAAGGGCGCUUCGCGACUUAGGCAAUCCAAGCUAAGUUCGCGUCUUGGCCGCAAGGGUACAUCACGGCUUAGGCAAUUCUAGCUAAGCUCGUGACAUUGUGGUAUCAGAGCGAGCAAGCAAUUCGAGCGAGCAACGAAGGAACUUCGCAAUUUCGCCAUGGCAAAGCAUCGUGGCGAAUCAAGAAAGACGGGGCAAGCCGGACCCUUGCCCCAAGCAGCCGCAGGUGGGUUGCAAAUGCAUACUUGCUCUUAUGUUGUUGGAGUCGCUCAUGAGGAGCGCGACAGCGAACAUGAUGAGCGAGAAGUUGGCUACUCUCCGCGAGCGGAGGAGGAGCAAUUUGGAGCGCCACCCGGGAGGAAGAGCCAUAAGGAGAGACUCACAACAGCGGAAACCCGCUUGGAUGUUCUUGAAGCGAGCUUGGAGGAACUCUACCAUGGCCAACGAAGGCUUGUUGGGGUAAAGAGCUCGCAAGAAGAAGCGGAGUCCUGAAUCGACAAGGUUGAGGCCCUAAUCGAUCGAUUGUCAGAUGACACCAAAGACUCCGUGCUACACCUGUAGGAAGUCGUGGCAGAACUUACUUCCAGGGUGACCAUGCUCAUGAGGGCACUGAAUGCGGGAGGAAGCAACACCCGCGUUGCACCGGCACAAAACUUGAGAGCACCCGAGCCACAUUGUUAUGGAGGUGCCCGAGAUGCCAAAGAGCUUGAGAAUUUUUUGUUCGACAUGAAAUAAUACUUUCGAGCUACGAGACCUGAUUAUGAAGAAACCAAAGUUUUUAUAGCAACCAUGUAUUUGAACAGAGAUGUAAAACUUUGGUGGCCAACCCGUUAGGAGGAGAUCCAACAAGGUCGGUGUCGAGUUGACACAUGGGAGGACUUGAAGCGGGAGUUGAGAACUCAGUUCCUAUCGGAGAACACAGAGUUCGUCGCAAAAAGGAAGUUGAGACAACUCCGCCAAAAUACUUCCAUUCGAGACUACGUGAAGUAAUUUUCUGUGCUAAUGCUGGACAUACAAGACAUGUCCGAGAAGGAUAAGCUGUUCAACUUUCUCGAUAGUUUGAAGCCAUGGGCUCAACAAGAGCUACAUCGAAGGAAUGUCGUCGAUGUGAUCGGGGCAAUUGCUAUCGCAGAAAGGCUCACCGACUUUGUUUCCUUUGAAGACCCGGGAAAAAGGAAACAAUCUUCAGGCAAUCGCCCUCCAAAAUAUUCUCGAGGGAAGGAGCUCGGGGGCGAACAAAGGAAGAAGAGUUCCCACAAAGGGCCAAGCCUGAAAGGCAAAGCUCCGAAACCUGGUGAAUGCUUCUUGUGCGGAGGGUCGUACAUGGUGAGAGAGUGCCCACAAAAACAAGCACUCAAUGCUUUAAUAGCUUUCAUCCAUCCCCCCCGAUCGGACAAGGACAAAACUGUCGCUCUUAGUUCGAGUAGUGCUGAAUCUAGCAGCGACGGUGAGGAGUCGCAAGGACCCCAGAUGGGAGCAAUGCAUUUGUUGAACGCCAUGCGGGGUCAAGUGGGGGAGAACACGAAAACAAGGCUACAAAAACCAGGAAGUUGCGAGCUGAUAUACGUAGACAUAAAGCUCAAUGGCCAAACGACCCGUGCAAUAGUGGACACGGGCGCUACCCACAACUUUAUCGCUGAUCGAGAAGCAAAGCGACUUGGGCUGAUCUUGGAGAAGAGCCCAAGUCGAAUGAAGGCGGUGAACUCGAAGGCCAAGCGAAUCUCUGGGUUGGCAAUGGUAGUUCCCAUCAAGAUCGGAACAUGGAGUGGGAGCAUAAACAUGAUAGCGGUGCCACUGGAUGACUUCCAAGUGAUUCUUGGAAUGGAAUUCAUGCACGCGGUAAAGUUGGUGCCAAUGUCGUUCCUAAACUCCCUAUGUAUAAUGGGAGGGGACGACCCCUGUGUGGUUCUUGUCUCUCGGAAAGGAACCAGGGAACCUCAAUAUAUAUCGGCAUUACAACUGAAGAAAAGGGUAUGAAAAGGCGAACUAACAUUCGUGGCUGCUAUGAAGCUAGAGCCACUUGAUGAGAAGGCCAUUCAUGAAUGUACUGUGAUGGCGAACAUUCUGAAGGAGUUCACAGAUGUUAUGCCACUCGAGUUGCUGAAGACUCUACCGCCACGCAGAGGCGUGGAUCACCACAUCGAGCUGGAGCCAAGAGUGAAGCCUCCAGUGAGACCACCCUACCGCAUGCCCCCUCCAGAGUUAGCAGAGCUCAGAAAGCAGUUAGGUGAACUGUUAAGCGAUGGUCUCAUCCACAGUUCUAAAGCACUAUUUGGAGCUCCAAUUCUUUUAUAGAAGAAACAAGAUAAGAGCCUCCGACUAUGCGUCGAUUACCGAGCCCCCAAAAAGUGACGGUGAAGAACAAGUAUCCCAUCCUGGUCAUCGCGGACUUGUUCGACCAAUUGGGCAAAGCCAAGUAUUUCUUAAAACUCGACCUUCGGUUGGGGUAUUAGUAGGUGCGCAUUGCUGAAGGCGACAAAGCGAAGACUACCUAUACCACCAGGUAUGGAGCGUUUGAGUUCUUGGUGAUGCCUUUCGGCUUAACCAACGCUCCGGCCACAUUCUGCACUCUCAUGAACCAGUUAUUCAAAGAGUAUUUGGAUAAGUUUGUGGUCAUCUACUUGGACGAUAUCGUCGUCUACAGUCAAACUCUCGAGGAGAAUGCCAAGCAUCUUCGGACAAUUUUCAAAGUUCUUAGGAAGAAAUGCUACUUUGCUCAAACGGAGAUCUUAUUCUUGGGGUAUCGAAUUGGUGAUGGCUCCAUUCGGAUGGACAAAUCGAAGGUGCAAGCGAUUGCGGAAUGGCGAAUCCCAAAGAAGGUGCCAAAGUUGAGAUUCUUCCUUGGUUUCGUCAACUACUAUCGACGCUUCAUAGCGGGGUAUUCGAAGCGUGCAACUCCACUAACGGAGUUGCUGAAGGAGCAGCCUUGUAGGUGGUCUGAUAAAUGUGAAAUUGCAUUCCAAGAUUUGAAGACUGCUGUGUUGGAAGAACCGAUGCUCAAAUUGCCGGACUAUGGGGAGCCCUUCGAAGUCCAUACAGAUGCUUCCGACUUCGCUAUUAGGGGAGUACUCAUGCAGGAGGGCCAUCCGGUGGCCUACGAGAGCCGCAAACUUAAUGAGACCGAGCGGUGGUAUCCGGUGCACGAGAAGGAGAUGACAACGGUGAUCCACUGUCUAUGAGUUUGGCGACACUACCUUCUUGGAUCACGAUUUGUGCUAAGGACAGACAACAUCGCUUUGAGCUAUUUCCAAACUCAAAAGAAACUCUCCCCAAAGUAAGCACGAUGGUAGGACUUCUUGGCUGAGUUUGAUAUGACAAUGGAGGACAAGCCCGGAAAGGCAAAUGUUGUGGCCGAUGCAUUGAGUCGGAAAGUGGAGCAUGUGAAUGCCGUACAAUUAGAGGGCAGAGGCCAAGCAAGUCAGUUGCACUCCAACUUCCUUUCUAGGAUCAGGGAUGGUCUAUACAGUGAUCCCCAAGCAGUAACCCUGAUGCAGCACAUUAAAGAAGGCAAGACACGAUGGUUUUGGGUCCAGGAGAGACUCGUUUACACUAAAGGGAAUAGGAUUUAUGUUCCUCGAGUGGACAAUCUAAGGUGUGAACUCUUAAGAGAGUGUCACGAUUCCCUUUGGGUGAGACACCCAGGCAUUCACAGAACCUUGGCUCUCGUGGAGAGGGCCUUCUACUGGCCAAAGAUGGGGACUGAUGUGGAGGAAUAUGUUCGAACGUGCCUCACUUGCCAACAAGACAAGGUGGAGCAGCGGAAGCCGAUGGGACUUUUGGAGCCGUUGUCCGUACCAGAAAGGCCGUGUGGGAGAGUAUUUCCUUAUAUUUCAUAUUAAGCUUGCCAGCAGUAGGGAGACUCAGAUCGAUACUCGUGGUGGUCGAUCGAUUUUCAAAGUAUGCAACUUUCAUUGUUGCUCCCUUACACUGUUCAACAGAGGAGGUAGCCAAGCUGAUAAUGAAGAAUGUGGUGAAGUAUUGGGGAGUCUCGCACAAUAUCAUCAGUGAUCGAGACGCUCGGUUCCUGGGACGAUUCUGGACUGAGCUAUUCAAAUUGUUAGGGUCGAAAUUAUACUUCUCCACAAGCCUCCACCCCCAGACGGAUGGCAAGACAGAAAGGAUAAACUCGCUCCUAGAGCAAUAUCUUCGGCAUUAUGUGAGUGCCAACCAACGAGAUUGGGUGAAGUUGUUGGACAUUGCCCAAUUCUCCUACAACUUGCAGCGGAGCUCUGCAUCCAAUAAGAGCUCAUUCGAGAUCAUUACAGGGCAACAACCGUCAACUCCUCACACCAUGGUAAUCGGGUAUACUGGGAGUAGUCCGUCAGCCUACCACUUUGCAAAGGAGUGGCACCAAAAUGCAGAUAUUGCGCAGGCUUACUUGGAGAAGGCGGCAAAAAGAAUGAAGAAGUGGGCAGACUUGGGAAGGCGACUGCAAGAGUUCAAGGUCGGCAAUUUGGUGUUGGUCAAGCUCCAGCCAGCAUCACUCCAAUUCUUUAGGAACAAAGUACACAAAGGAUUAGUGCGCAAGUAUGAAGGACCCUUCCCAAUUAUCAGCAGGGUGGGCAACGUCUCCUACAAGUUGUAGCUGCCUGUGUGGUUCAAAAUUCACAACGUUCUUCACGCCAUCAACUUGAAAGCCUACUACUCGGAUCCGCAAGAUGCUUCCCGAAGUGUUCCAACUCGGCUACCCCCCACCAGAGCCUCCUACGAGAAGCGAGUUGAAACCAUUUUAGCGGACCGCAAAAUAAAGCUACCCACUGGAGCUGAACAGACCGAGUACUUGGUGAAGUGGCAAAAGCUUCCCCGAACUGAAGCCAGCUGGGAGCCCGAAGACGCCCUACGACAUGAAGAAGCAAUCAUCAACUACCAACAAGCAUCGACGAGGGCGUCGACAGUUUGAGUGGGGGAGAAUGUCACGAACGAUUGUCGCGCACCCACAACAACUCUGUUCAACGAACUGUUCAUCGUUUGUGUUUACAUGUACAGCUGCGUGGCAGCAUGUUUUGGCUUGGUUUUAUGUCAUUUUGCUUGUAAAAAUGUAAGUUCGAACAAGUUGCAGCACUACAGUGCGACCGCUCACCGAGUAAAACAGCCCAAAAUAGCUCUGUUUUCUCAUGCCACGGGCUGUUUUUUGCAGCCUGCUACUGCACGCGAAACGUUAGCCAUCUCAGCACCCUGGAACCACCCGGGUGGCACCAUGGGGGAUGGGGCUUCGGUAUAGUGUCGGGCGUUGAACAAUCUUUCGUAAGUUCGCACGUUACCUUGACGGGAACUUAUUGUCGCGCCCGGCACCCGGUGAGCAGCUGUUUGUGGACUUGCAACUGUUCAUUCAACCUUCUAAAUUUCUUGUUUUCCUCCUCUCCCUCUUUUCUCUUAUGCACGCAAGGUGCUCGUUGAAUUGCUUGUAAAGCUUCCCCUUACGCGAGACUUCAGGACUUGUCCGUCGCUCGUUCUUUGAACUAAUCAACUUUCUCUUUUACAGGUCCUUCGGGACCCGAGUGAGGUUGCAACUUGGUUGACUCUUGCUAACGCAUAUCGCAAGGGCUCUUCGUGACUUAGACAAUCCAAGCUAAGUUCGCGUCUUGGCCGCAAGGGUGCAUCACAGCUUACGCAAUUCUAGCUAAGCCCAUGACAGAAGGGCGGCCGCACAAGUGGAUGAUAAGCCUUAUUUCGGUACUCUUGUUUCGAAAUUUGCCAUGCUGUACUCUUGCAUCGGUACUCUUGUUUCGAAAUUUGCCAUUGGUCUUGCAAUUCUGCGCAUUCUGAUGUAAACCAUUGUUUUCUUUGCCCAAACAAAAAAAAAAAGCACCAUGUACCAAACGGUUGUAAUGCAUAGCUGAAGUUUGUCAACUUUCUUAUAGAUGGUGACUCAAAUGAGGUAAAUUGAGAAUUGGUUUAAAAUCCUUGUUCAAUCAAUGGUUUCUGUUCUGAUUAUUGUUCGUUGUUUAUGGAGGAUUUUGCAGAUACAAAUUUUACUUGUGACUUAGUUGUUCAACUGUAAAAAGGAAUGUUCUCUUUGAUGAAGAUGUUUGGACUAACCAAGACCUAAUUUUCCCCUAGGUUUUUGCUGAAGGGCCAGCUCGGCCAACUGGGGGUGAUGCUGCUAUUGCAAUGUUGAUUGGACCAAAUUCUCCAAUUUCUUUAGAGAGUCUAUACGGGGGAACUCACAUGGCUCAUGUUUGUGACUUUUGCAAGCCAAACCUUGCAAGCGAAUACCUGGUUUGCUUCCUUUCCUUCCUGAUGCCAUUUUGCACCUCGGUCCUGCUGACAGAAGUGAAAUUUGAAUGUUUCUGCUCUUCAUUCUUCAAGAUUUUGCUUUAUUUUUGUUCAAUCUUAUGUUUUUUGUAGUGAAUCAUGUAAUAAUUUUCAGGCACAAAUGUUCUUUUGUUCUUAUUGAGGCGAUUGUGGCUUCAUCAAGAACAACUUUUCUGCCUGAUCCCCAAUCGGAUGGCAUUUUUUCUUUCUUUUUACUGUUGCAUGUUCUCUUUCUAUUUACUGCUGCAUAUAUUGUUUCUAUGGUUCUUCUCCGAGAGAUGUUUGGCAUCAGCAAGUGCCAGAAAUUUUACUAGAGAAAUUUCACUUUUAUAAUAUUUCUUCUUUUGCUGAUAAUUUCAGGUAUAAAUUUUUCUUGUUGCAUGGUGUCUCUCAUCCUAUUUUUCACCGAAUAAUUAUGGAUUGCUUAAGCUUGGUUUCUAUUACCAAAACUGCUCAUCCAUUGCAUAAUCAAUGUAAACAUCAUACAAACCAAUUAUAAUCAAUUGACUUCUUUAUACAGAUGUAGUGCAAGUUUACAUAGCUUGAAUUGUAGGACAAUCUUUUAAAAGUACAUCAUAAUAAUUAAUAUACAAUAUUCAAAAGGACAAGAAGCUAACAGUGUUGCUUUGGUAGUAGUAACUGGGCCUUGUCUAGUUCUUUAAUUCCUUGUAUUUACAACCUUAACUGAGUGUAUUUAAGUAGAAAAGGGUGAACACAGUUCACAAAGCUCCUACAAGACCUAGGAAGGUUCAACGCAAUAAUCCCUUUUAAAUGGUUUUUUGUCCACUUCUAUAAUAAAACGAAGUACACCCUUUUGGAUAUUGAUUUCUUGGGCAUGCAAUAUAUUUGUCUCGGAAUAAAUUAUUUCCUUAAUGUGUUGAUCCGACAGGUUACUUUUGAGUUAAAUCACCAGAGAACAUGUUCACCAUUAAUCACACAAGUUUUUGAAACCUUUCUAUGCAGAACACACUUUUAAGUCUCAAUCGAAUCCAUAUCUGCAUUAGUUUUAUAGGUCUAAAGAUUUUAUUUGUUGUAGCCUUAGUUUUAAUGAUGACAUACAGUCAUCUGGCUGUCUGAUGGAGACCAUGAACUUUGAUGGUAGUGAUCUAGCUGAUUAUUUACUUUGAUGGUAGCUUUUGAUUUAAUUUUUGAGAUGAUUUUUGAAGCAAAAAAAAAAGCAAAAUGAUUUUCUUCAAAGAAUAGUAAGUUUUCCCUUUUCAGAGUUCUUUUGAAGUAUUCAAACUUUUCACAGUUGUAAAAUUAUUCAUAGGAUUAGGUUCUUUUUUAAGUGUAUGUGUUUGACUAGCAUUUGUUAAUUCUGAGAAGUCUCAAGAACUAUAGCUGACCAUUGAGGCUAGUACUGGGUAGUGUGUUAAAAGAGUUUAUAUCGUACAAACUUAUUAGGUAUUUUUCUUGAUGGUGGUGAUGUAUUUAAUUUGAAUGGAAUAGUUCCUCAGUGACAAAUUUCUAGAGCACAUUUUGAUCAAGUGCAUGGGUUCUUUUUUUUGUUUUUUUGUUUUUACAGUGUGUAAAUACUCCCAACAGUGGAAUGAUAAAUUUACUUGAUUGUUUCUCGAGUGUUAUAUCACUUCAGCUUGUUGAUUUGCAGCUCUUUGUCGGUCACUCACUGUAUUGCCUAUGCAGGUGUUGUUGAUGGGAAAGUAUCACAAACAUGCUAUCUCAUGGGACUUUUGAUUUAUGCUACAAACGUUGCUGCAGCAAAUGAGUUCGAAUAUAUUAUAUUGUCUAUAUUCGGAGGAGGGUCUUCUUUUAAUCGGGAGCUUGAAAAGGCAUGCAUGUGUCCUUUUGCAUUUCUUUUAGUCCUCGUGGCCAUCGUCGUUAUUUCCUCUCAUGUAUGCUCAUUCUUACUCUCGUUAAACUGUUCGGGCUUCUCACCAUCUUGGUAUGAUGCAAAAGUCCAACCAUCAUCUACUUCGUUAAUAUGUACACAGCUUGUCUUUAUGCCACAUUUGCGUCUGUGAUUCAUAACAAACAUAGCACUCUGGGUGAUUUUGCUGUUUCCUUUCCUUCACUCAAAUGCGUUGUUAUCAAAAUAUUGCUUUCACGUUUCUUUCGACUUAGGCUUUGGCUUUCACAUGUGAUAUGAUAUAUUUUGACGGCCUAGACACAUCACCGUUGACACCGCACAUUAAAUCGAAGCCUUACGUCACCCGUCCCGUCCUGGGAGCUUGUACCAAGAAGAUAUGCCACACGUCUCGUCCCGGAAGCUCAGGGCGACGUCGUCUUAACCCGCUUUGCACGUCCCGGAAUGACGGUUAAUCAGAAGGGUCAUCCCAUCUCUCGGGGUCAGCAAUAGCGACGCUGAAUUGACGCACCAUCAGCCCUCGUGUCACAAUAUAAAACCCCUAGUUGGCCUUCGGCCAAGGGGAAAUAAGAAAAAAAGAAGGAAAAAAGCAAUCCAUCUCGUUACUAACUUGCUCGUCGGAGGGGCCACGGUCAUGUACCACCCCGCGGAGGCCAUUUUUGAAGAAGGGUGACCACUCAUCGACGAUGAGGGACUCGGCACGGAAGCACGAUCCGCCCGGUACUAAGGAGUCGUCAAUCAGCCCUGAUCUUAACCAACGCCAACCAGCACUCCUUCCCAAGAGCUCGGGUACCUCAUCAUCCGAAUCGCCCUACAGAAAGCUCCCGACAUCGACCCGUGAACCUAGCCGUGCUGACUCACCAGCUACGAUAUAUUUGUUGUCUAAGAGAGGCAAACGGGUUUUGACGUUCUCUUACGGUAGCGACCUAAUUUCAUGUUUAUUUAUUUAUUUAUAGAGAUCCCUAAUUGAAUAAACAAAAAUUAUUUUACCCAUAUAACUUUAAAGAAUAUCCGUCACAGUUGUAAUCCUAACCGUGCUUCCACCUGUACUUGUUGCUUGGCCCGUUCGCCCUCACACACUCAUCGGGGGCCGUCGACAAGACCGGUGCGGGCGUGGAGGAGUAGGUGACCGAGAGAGGGAGGGCCAUCGAUGUUGCCUGUCAGCCGGUGCAUGAAAGCGCAUGCAACUAGGGGAGGGGAGGGGAGGGGGGCGGCAAAGGUGGGCGAAAAAGCAUCCCUUUUGAAAAAAGGGGCGGGACAGGGGUGAGAUAUGGGGGGGCGGCCACACAAGCUGAUGCGGCUGGCGACCUGCCACCCCAGGGCAGCGCCUCCCCUCCUGCAAGCGAGGGAAUCUGAGAAAUGGGGAAGGGGAAACGUAAAGGGAAGAAUCCACGAAACAACGGCGAGGUCGAUGGAGACGGAGGAGGAGGUCGGGGAAGAAAGGGUUUGGCUGCGCCCGUUGGUGAGGGUUGGACAAGGGGCGAUCUCCGAACGCCGCCGCCGCUGCGUUGGCAUUGUCGAUUGGGGUGGUUCUGUUACGACGAACUGCCGACACAUCAACGGGGAAAGGGCGAAGGAGCACCGAUCGCGCACCGAAGCAUGUUAGUAAUAAAUUGUGAGCGUUCCAACAUCACUUGGCUUGGCUUAAAAAUAUGGGACAUUUUUCUUGUUUUUGGCAUAUGGCAUUCUCUAUGAUCUUCGUCAAUUUCAUUUUCUCGUAGCACCAACUUGAUAGGUGAGCUUCUUGGUAGCCUUGAUCUUUUAAAACUACUGAGAGAUUACACCUUCAGUUUGAAGAUUAUUUGUAGGCAGAUUAUUUGAAGAUUAACCUAAUUGAAAGGAG